rnacentral:pre_miRNA from 16 species
UGGGUGCGCUUGACAAUUUUUGUACUACACAAAAGUUCUGUUCAGCUUCUAUGUACAGCUCGUUUGUCCAGUGCAAAAAUGGUUGAGCUGGCACUGUUUU